rnacentral:rRNA from 1 species
AGUGAACGCUGGCGGUAGGCCUAACACAUGCAAGUCGAACGGCAGCACAGUAAGAGCUUGCUCUUACGGGUGGCGAGUGGCGGACGGGUGAGGAAUACAUCGGAAUCUACUUUUUCGUGGGGGAUAACGUAGGGAAACUUACGCUAAUACCGCAUACGACCUACGGGUGAAAGCAGGGGAUCUUCGGACCUUGCGCGAUUGAAUGAGCCGAUGUCGGAUUAGCUAGUUGGCGGGGUAAAGGCCCACCAAGGCGACGAUCCGUAGCUGGUCUGAGAGGAUGAUCAGCAACACUGGAACUGAGACACGGUCAAGACUCCUACGGGAGGCAGCAGUGGGGAAUAUUGGACAAUGGGCGCAAGCCUGAUCCAGCCAUACCGCGUGGGUGAAGAAGGCCUUCGGGUUGUAAAGCCCUUUUGUUGGGAAAGAAAAGCAGCAGGUUAAUACCCCGCUGUUCUGACGGUACCCAAAGAAUAAGCACCGGCUAACUUCGUG